rnacentral:tRNA from 26 species
GGGGGUGUAGCUCAGUUGGUUAGAGUGCCGGCCUGUCACGCCGGAGGUCGCGGGUUCGAGCCCCGUCACUCCCGCCA